rnacentral:tRNA from 9 species
AGGGGCAUAGCCAAGUUGGUAAGGCACGGGACUUUGACUCCCGCAUCCGUUGGUUCGAGUCCAGCUGCCCCUGCCA